CGCCUGGAUGUGUCGGCCAUGGUUUAACGACAGGCACCAGGGGACAGCUGAACUGUGGGAUUAGGGGCUGAGAUACAGCAAAGGGUGGCGAAGCCAGAGCCCUUGCCCCGAACGUCUGGCGGGU
rnacentral:ncRNA from 1 species